ACGUAGGGGGCAAGCGUUGUCCGGAUUUAUUGGGCGUAAAGAGCUCGUAGGUGGCUCAGUAAGUCGGGUGUGAUACCUCCAGGCUCAACCUGGAGACGCCACCCGAUACUGCUGUGGCUUGAGUCCGGUAGGGGAGCGUGGAAUUCCUGGUGUAGCGGUGGAAUGCGUAGAUAUCGGGAAGAACACCGGUGGCGAAGGCGGCUCGCUGGGCCAUUGCUGACGCUGAGGCGCGAAAGCGUGGGGAGCAAACAGGA
rnacentral:rRNA from 1 species